AUUGAACGCUGGCGGCAGGCCUAACACAUGCAAGUCGAACGAGUGGCGGACGGGUGAGUAAUGUCUGGGAAACUGCCUGAUGGAGGGGGAUAACUACUGGAAACGGUAGCUAAUACCGCAUACCAUCAGAUGUGCCCAGAUGGGAUUAGCUAGUUGGUGGGGUAACGGCUCACCAAGGCGACGAUCCCUAGCUGGUCUGAGAGGAUGACCAACCACGGGGGUAAUGAGACACGGUGCAGACUCCGACGGGAGGCAGCAGUGGGGAAUAUGGCAUAAUGGGCGCAAGGCUAAUGCAGCCAUGCCGCGGGUAUGAAGAAGGCCGUAGGGUUGUAAAGUACUGUCAGCGGGGAGGCGUUACCCGCAGAAGAAGCACCGGCUAACUCCGUGCCAGCCGCGGUAAUAC
rnacentral:rRNA from 1 species